rnacentral:misc_RNA from 1 species
AACAUCGCGCACCUGCGGGAACCUGCGGAAGGAUCAUUACCGAGUUUACAACUCCCAAACCCCUGUGAACAUACCUAUACGUUGCCUCGGCGGAUCAGCCCGCGCCCUGUAAAACGGGACGGCCCGCCCGAGGACCCUAAACUCUGUUUUUAGUGGAACUUCUGAGUAAAACAAACAAAUAAAUCAAAACUUUUAACAACGGAUCU